GGGACACGUGGUAUCCUGUCUGAAUAUGGGGGGACCAUCCUCCAAGGCUAAAUACUCCUGACUGACCGAUAGUGAACCAGUACCGUGAGGGAAAGGCGAAAAGAACCCCGGCGAGGGGAGUGAAAAAGAACCUGAAACCGUGUACGUACAAGCAGUGGGAGCACCUUCGGGUGUGACUGCGUACCUUUUGUAUAAUGGGUCAGCGACUUAUAUUCUGUAGCAAGGUUAACCGUAUAGGGGAGCCGCAGGGAAACCGAGUCUUAACUGGGCGUUAAGUUGCAGGGUAUAGACCCGAAACCCGGUGAUCUAGCCAUGGGCAGGUUGAAGGUUGGGUAACACUAACUGGAGGACCGAACCGACUAAUGUUGAAAAAUUAGCGGAUGACUUGUGGCUGGGGGUGAA
rnacentral:rRNA from 1 species